CUGCUUUUCAUUUGGAUGAUGAUAGUCUCCUUUCAGACUGGAUCCUCUGAGGAUUUACUGACACCAUCUAAAGAUGUAGUGACGAGUUUGGAAGGAGGCACUGUGACUCUCUCCUGCAACUAUUCAGGCUCUGUCCUCAACCUCUACUGGUAUCAUCAGAAGUCUGGUUCACAUCCACAGCUUCUCAUAGAUGAACAUUCAGAGAAAAUAGAAAAGCUGAAGUUUAGAAAAGAUCAAGACAAAAGCGAUUUUUAUCUGGAGAUCUCCUCUGCUGCAGUGUCUGACUCUGCUGUGUACUACUGUGCUCUGCAGCCCACAGUGACAGGAAACAGCAAAACUCUGUAAAAACCUUUGUAGAGACAGAGCUGCUGUGGAAACACAAAACUAUUUGAUUGGCUCAGCUAUUAAACUGGCCCCGCCCACUGAAGUUGAGCUCAUCCAAUGACAUUAUUUGUUGGUCAUUGUGCUGCAGUGGAAGAACAUUGUUCAUGUGCUGUCUGUCUGGCUUUAAUAACUCCAAAGACAUGUUGCUGCACCUCUUUUUGCUUCUAUCUCACAUUAUAGGACUAACAGCUGGAGACUCAAUCACUCCUCAACAACCUGAAGUCACUAAAACAGAAGGAGAAUCUGUCAAACUCACAUGUAGCUAUGAG